rnacentral:rRNA from 1 species
GACGAACGCUGGCGGCGUGCUUAACACAUGCAAGUCGAGCGGUAAGGCCCCUUCGGGGGUACACGAGCGGCGAACGGGUGAGUAACACGUGGGUGACCUGCCCUCAGCUCUGGGAUAAGCCUGGGAAACUGGGUCUAAUACCGGAUAUGACUCCAUGACGCAUGUCGUGGGGUGGAAAGCCUUGUGCGGCUGGGGAUGGGCCCGCGGCCUAUCAGCUUGUUGGUGGGGUGANGGCCUACCAAGGCGACGACGGGUAGCCGGCCUGAGAGGGCGACCGGCCACACUGGGACUGAGACACGGCCCAGACUCCUACGGGAGGCAGCAGUGGGGAAUCUUGCGCAAUGGGCGAAAGCCUGACGCAGCGACGCCGCGUGAGGGAUGACGGCCU